rnacentral:rRNA from 1 species
AUACGGGGGGUGCAAGCGUUAAUCGGAAUUACUGGGCGUAAAGCGCGCGUAGGCGGCUUUGUAAGUCGGAUGUGAAAGCCCUGGGCUCAACCUGGGAACUGCAUUCGAAACUGCAUGGAUAGAGUAUGGGAGAGGGAAGUGGAAUUUCCGGUGUAGCGGUGAAAUGCGUAGAUAUCGGAAGGAACACCAGUGGCGAAGGCGACUUCCUGGCCCAAUACUGACGCUCAGGUGCGAAAGCGUGGGGAGCAAACAGGAUUAGAUACCCCAGUAGUCC